rnacentral:lncRNA from 1 species
AAAAAUCGAAAACUAACUUGUAUUGCAAAAGGAUAAAUCAGACGAAAUGAAGUGAGUGAAUAAAAGGUCUGAUAUCGUCCCUUAUAUUUAUAGAACAAAAAGGAACUCUUCGAUUAUUGAAGUCAGUUAAAAUAAACUCUUGAUUAUUGUGAAACUCUUCGAUUAUUGAAGUCAGUUACUGAAAAUAACCAAUCAUAUAACAGCCAGUCUUGACGAAAAGAAACUCUUCGGUUACUGAGUUACAUGAUGUCGUUUGGAAGAGACUUUUCGAUUCCUGAGAUAUAUGUUUGAACAAAAAAAAAAAUCACCCAUUACUCGUAGGAGAGUCGAACCCGGGUCGAGCAAAUGUUUCGGUGUCAUAGGUUUCGAGGUUUAGCCGCUAGGCUGAGGAGAAUCAUCUGUUAGUUGCUUCCACAUAAUUGUAUUUAGCCAUACAAUUGAUAGUAUAAUACAUUGGAAAGAUCUUUGAUAGUUCAGGAUGGGCUUCCGAUUGCAACAAAUGUGAUUCCUGAGAUAUAUGUUUGAACAAAAAAAAAAAAUCACCCAUUACUCGUAGGAGAGUCGAACCCGGGUCGAGCAAAUGUUUCGGUGUCAUAGGUUUCGAGGUUUAGCCGCUAGGCUGAGGAGAAUCAUCUGUUAGUUGCUUCCACAUAAUUGUAUUUAGCCAUACAAUUGAUAGUAUAAUACAUUGGAAAGAUCUUUGAUAGUUCAGGAUGGGCUUCCGAUUGCAACAAAUGUGAUUCCUGAGAUAUAUGUUUGAACAAAAAAAAAAAAAUCACCCAUUACUCGUAGGAGAGUCGAACCCGGGUCGAGCAAAUGUUUCGGUGUCAUAGGUUUCGAGGUUUAGCCGCUAGGCUGAGGAGAAUCAUCUGUUAGUUGCUUCCACAUAAUUGUAUUUAGCCAUACAAUUGAACAAAAAAAAAAAUCACCCAUUACUCGUAGGAGAGUCGAACCCGGGUCGAGCAAAUGUUUCGGUGUCAUAGGUUUCGAGGUUUAGCCGCUAGGCUGAGGAGAAUCAUCUGUUAGUUGCUUCCACAUAAUUGUAUUUAGCCAUACAAUUGAUAGUAUAAUACAUUGUAUAUUACAAAAGUUGUAUAUUACAAAAGUUGGAUAGGAUUCCAGAAUAGUUGAAUAUUACUGUGUUUUUUUCUAGCAAAGAAGUUUAAACUAAAAAUUGAAAUGAGAUCAAAAGAUAAUGUUGUAUAUUACAAAAGUUGUAAGAAAUCAUACUUAUUCAGGAUAGGGUUCCAAAAGAAAAAAUGUAUAUGGUCUUGUGCAUAUCAUGUAACCAUCAAAUAGC